UACGUGUGAUGAACCAAACUUCACCAUCUUUCGACUGAAAAAAACAUUGAUGCCAUACAAGUUUUCACUGAUUA
rnacentral:snoRNA from 1 species